AUGAACGCUGGCGGCAUGCCUAACACAUGCAAGUCGAUCGGUAAGGCUCUUCGGAGUACACGAGAGGCGGGCGGCUGAGUAACGCGUAGGAACACACCCUGCAGUGAGGGAUAAGACACCGAAAGGUGUUCUAAUACCGCAUACGGUCUUCGGAUUAAAGCAUUUAUGCGCUGAAGGAGUGGCCUGCGUCAUAUUAGAUAGUUGGUGAGGUAAUGGCUCACCAAGUCGAUGAUGUGUAGCUGGUCUGAGAGGAUGAUCAGCCAGACUGGAACUGAGACACGGUCCAGACUCCUACGGGAGGCAGCAGUGAGGAAUAUUUCACAAUGAGCGAAAGCUUGAUGGAGCAAUGCCGCGUGCAGGAUGAAGGCCCUCGGGUUGUAAACUGCUUUUAUAAGAGAAGAUUAUGACGGUAACUUAUGAAUAAGGGACGGCUAACUACGUG
rnacentral:rRNA from 1 species